rnacentral:rRNA from 1 species
AUUGAACGCUGGCGGCAGGCCUAACACAUGCAAGUCGAACGGUAACAGGAAGCAGCUUGCUGCUUUGCUGACGAGUGGCGGACGGGUGAGUAAUGUCUGGGAAACUGCCCGAUGGAGGGGGAUAACUACUGGAAACGGUAGCUAAUACCGCAUAACGUCGCAAGACCAAAGAGGGGGACCUUAGGGCCUCUUGCCAUCGGAUGUGCCCAGAUGGGAUUAGCUAGUAGGGGGGGUAACGGCUCCCCUAGGCGAGGAUCUCUACCUGGUCUGAGAGGAUGACCAGCCACACUGGAACUGAGACACGGUCCAGACUCCUACGGGAGGCAGCAGUGGGGAAUAUUGCACAAUGGGCGCAAGCCUGAUGCAGCCAGGCCGCGUGUAUGAAGAAGGCCUUCGGGUUGUAAAGUACUUUCAGCGGGGAGGAAGGGAGUAAAGUUAAUACCUUUGCUCAUUGACGUUACCCGCAGAAGAAGCACCGGCUAACUCCGUG